UAAGCAGGGCAGAUGAUCGCGGCUGCAGUUGCUGCAGGUGAGGAAAGUCCGGGCUUCACAGGGCAGGAUGCCGGAUAACGUCCGGUAGAGGCGACUCUAAGGAUAGUGCAACAGAAAUAUACCGCCGGAUGAGGUUCAUCCGGUAAGGGUGGAAGGGCAGUGUAAGAGACUACCGCCUCUCUGGCAACAGAGAGGGCAUAUGUAAACCCCAUUCGAAGCAAGACCAAAUGUAAGCGAUGACGUGGCCCGCCAGCUUUCGGUAGGUUGCUUGAGGCGGCUGGCGACAGCCGUCCUAGACAGAUGAUCAUUCACGACAUAACCCGGCUUACCGCCCUGCUUAUUUU
rnacentral:RNase_P_RNA from 1 species